AUGCCUGCUGAUGAUGGCGAUGAAAAAACCGAGGAAAUUUUAAAAUCUACUAGUCCUGUAAUUGAUAGUGCCGCGUCUGAUGCUCAUAAAAUAUCUGAGGACUUUUCCAAGUCAUUCAGUUCAAACAUUAUUAGUGCUAUACCAACAUCUGAUGAAAAAUUGGAACAGAAAUCAGCAUCGCCUAUCCUGGAUAUGAAAAGUUCAGUGCUUGAUGCCAGCGAUACUAAGCUGACUUUAGAAUCGACGACUCUUGAGGAGCGACAGCCUACGCCAUCAACUGCUGAAGCUUCUCCUGCUGCAAGUCCUGGAAAAACUGAACACAGUCAAUUGGAAAAACAAUCAGAAACAAGCCUCUUAACAUCAGAUGAGAAAAAUAAAUCUAGCAUUUCUAUUGAGCAGAACUUGACUUCUGAGUUUACAAGUUGUACUUCAGGCUCAGGUGGAGUGAAAUCUUCUAGUCAAACACCUUCUUUAGAAAUGACAAAAUCGUCCUUCGUAGAAGAAACACAUUUAACAAGUCCUUGUCAUGAUAUAAGUCAGAAACAAAUAUCACCUGUCAUGGAUGGAGGAGAGAGUUUGAAACCCUCGAGCCCAGUUCAAGAUACCAUGGUGGAAACUGCCUUGACAGUUCCGCAGGAUAUUCUUAAAAAAGAAGAUAGUCGCAGCUCGGACUCUCCAUCAGGCAAAGAAUCUGAGCAGAUAACAACUACUUCCCCUUCUCAUGAUCUUGAACCAUCUAGCGAGAGAGUCAAGUCAAGUGCAAGUCAUGAGCUAGAGCUGACACCAAGAUCAGCAAGCCCUGCAGAAAGUUCUAAAGCAGCGAGCCCAAUCCCACCAACGGAUAAAAAGUCAGACAUUACCUCAUCUACCUCCAUCUCCCCUGUUCCUAGCCCAACAUUUUCUGUUGACAAAGAAAAAGAGUCCAGCAUGAGUAGCCAAAGUUUGAAGGGUGAAGAAAUGACUUCAAAAACUGCAAGCCCUGGAGAGGAUCACCUAUCGCCAGCACGAAGCCCUUCACCACCAGUCGCCCAACUUCCAAAGGAUGAAACUGCUAGCAGCCCAGCCCCAGCAAGUAACGAUGCGCCUUUACCGGAAUCAUCCUCGAUUCCAACAUUUUCUACAGAAGGCAUCAAAAGUUUCAGUUCUAAUGUUGAAGCCAAAAGUUCUCCGAAAUCUUCAAGUCCAUCCGAUAACACACCAAAGGCAGUUAGCCCUUCACUUUCAGGCACUAAAACUCCAGAAGAGACAACAACAUCCCCCUCUAAUUUACUGAGCUCAGUACCACCUGGUACUUUGCCGGAGACUGAAACUUUAGCUUUCAAAGAAGAGAUAGCCUCAAAACUAGUCAGCUCAGUAAAAAGUGAUGAAAUUGUUAAUACGGUUGACAUUGUAACAAAAGUUACCGAAUCGGUAACUGGCUUUAACAUUAGUUGUGGAGGAGAAACAGGGAAAGUAUCUAGUCAAAUGAAAGGGAUGGAGUUUGCAGAAAAUCUACAAAAGAAAACCCCUAGCCCCGUUUUAGAAGGGGGCAUGACUGGAAUGAUAAAUGAGUCUGAAGAAUCUAUCAUGUCCGCUUUGGACUCAGAAAAAAUAAGUUCAACAGCUGUCCAUGAAGGACUUCAGAAAUUAUCCAGCCUUCCAGAGACCACUGAGUCAAUAAAGAAAACAGUAAGCCCUUCAGCUGAAAUAGAUACUACCUUGAAAACUGUUUCCUCCGUCUCCGAAGUAAAAAAAUUGAAAAGUGAAACUCUUGAAUCUCAUGCGUAUUCGCCUGGCACUGUUGAAGAGCCAAAAGAAGAACAUGACAAAACAACAAUGGCAUCAGAUGAAAUUGCGAAUCAAGUGCAAAAAACUAAAUGCAGCGCUACCGAUUCAUCGGUAAAUGAUGAAUUAAGAAGAAGUUCACAAUCUUUGGAAGAUGAUAAAGAGGCAUCUUGGAAAUUGCAUAGUAGGGGGGAAGAGUCCAUUACUUUAAGUAAAGAGGAGUCAACUGUUUCAACGACGACAAUAUCCGAAAAAUCUGAGAGUGCAGGAGUUUCACUUUGCUCCAAGGUAUCAGGUCUGCAUUCUUCGUCAGAUGAAUCAGAACAGCCAGUGGAGAAAGGAUUUGAUCUUCACAGCUCAACACAGUCGACGUGUGGAAGUUCACGGACAACUGGGUCAACUCCUCCAGUUGAAGAGAUCACAGAAGGCUUGAGUCACAUUACCGCAAAAGAUGAAGCGGAGUCCACCUCUACCACAUCCAGUUUCACCUCAUUCAUAAAAUCUGGCUUUGAAACAGUAGUUGGAGUUCUGCAUGACGCAACAAAAACUGCAAGCUCUGCCAAAAGCCUCGAUGAAGAUAAUUCUAAAACAAAAAAGAUGAAAAGUUAG
rnacentral:lncRNA from 1 species